rnacentral:rRNA from 1 species
UACAGAGGUGGCAAGCGUUGUUCGGAAUUACUGGGCGUAAAGGGCGCGUAGGCGGCCUUCUAAGUCGGACGUGAAAGCCCCAGGCUUAACCUGGGAACUGCGUCCGACACUGGGAGGCUUGGAUUCGGGAGAGGGAUGUGGAAUUCCAGGUGUAGCGGUGAAAUGCGUAGAUAUCUGGAGGAACACCGGUGGCGAAGGCGGCAUCCUGGACCGAGAUCGACGCUGAGGCGCGAAAGCUAGGGGAGCAAACGGG